rnacentral:rRNA from 1 species
AUUGAACGCUGGCGGAAUGCUUUACACAUGCAAGUCGAGCGGCAGCGCGGCCUUCGGGCUGGCGGCGAGCGGCGAACGGGUGAGUAAUGCAUCGGAACAUGCCCAGUCGUGGGGGAUAACACUUCGAAAGAAGUGCUAAUACCGCAUACGUCCUGAGGGGGAAAGCGGGGGAUCGCAAGACCUCGCGCGAUUGGAGUGGCCGAUGUCAGAUUAGCUAGUUGGUGGGGUAAAGGCCUACCAAGGCGACGAUCUGUAGCUGGUCUGAGAGGAUGAUCAGCCACACUGGGACUGAGACACGGCCCAGACUCCUACGGGAGGCAGCAGUGGGGAAUUUUGGACAAUGGGGGCAACCCUGAUCCAGCCAUUCCGCGUGAGUGAAGAAGGCCUUCGGGUUGUAAAGCUCUUUCGGCAGGAACGAAACGGUGGGCUCUAACAUAGUCCGCUAAUGACGGUACCUGAAGAAGAGGCACCGGCUAACUACGUG